rnacentral:rRNA from 1 species
CCUACGGGAGGCAGCAGUGGGGAAUAUUGCACAAUGGGCGCAAGCCUGAUGCAGCCAUGCCGCGUGUAUGAAGAAGGCCUUCGGGUUGUAAAGUACUUCCAGCGAGGAGGAAGGCGUUAAGGUUAAUAACCUUGGCGAUUGACGUUACUCGCAGAAGGAGCACCGGCUAACUCCGUGCCAGCAGCCGCGGUAAUACGGAGGGUGCAAGCGUUAAUCGGAAUUACUGGGCGUAAAGCGCACGCAGGCGGUCUGUCAAGUCGGAUGUGAAAUCCCCGGGCUCAACCUGGGAACUGCAUUCGAAACUGGCAGGCUAGAGUCUUGUAGAGGGGGGUAGAAUUCCAGGUGUAGCGGUGAAAUGCGUAGAGAUCUGGAGGAAUACCAGUGGCGAAGGCGGCCCCCUGGACAAAGACUGACGCUCAGAUGCGAAAGCGUGGGGAGCAAACAGGAUUAGAUACCCUCGUAGUC